CUCCUGACCUCAAGUGAUCUGCUUGCCUGAGCCUCCCAAAGUGUUGGGAUUUCAGAUAUGAGGCCAGCCAAAAAUGUUUUAAAGUUAAAAAUAUCUGAGGUGAAUAUUUUAAAAUUAUGGAAUAUUAUGAAAAGUCAAUUGCGGAAGUACUGAUUUUAUGUCUCAUUUUCUUGUUAAUCAGAUUGGCUUUGUGAUUAAAAGCAAAUUCCAUAUGUAAUUCUCAUAGUACUGUUGGGGUUCAGAGGUUCAGGGGAGCCCUCAGCUCCCCUGAGAGGAUGUUUCUCCAAGGUUCUUGAUCUCCUGCUCUCUCAGGAAUGAGAGAGGGGAACAGGUGCGCUCGCAAAGUAAAUACUAGACCCCAAAUAGUUUUUUUUGCAGGAAGUGAAUUUAUUUAGUUAAAGAAAAGGGGAAAAAAAGGAGAAGAAGAGAGAAAACUUCCACGAAGAGUGUGGAAGGAGACUCCAGAGGGGAAAUCCGCCCUGAUGAGGGAGACAGGGACUUUUAACCUGGAAGGAAUUCUGUCCUUCUCCAAGUCCCUUGGCCAAUGAAAAGAGUUCCCUAAAACUUCUGCGGGAGUAACCUUUAGUUCUUCCUGCAUGCAUGAAAAUUUAAAACAGAGACCUUUACACCUCCUGGGUGGAGAGAGAUGGGAGCGAGGGCAUGGUGCUGGGAAGUUCUUGCCCUUGAAACUACACCCCCUAGUGGACCCGGAAAGAGGACACCUUCCCUCAUUGCCCCCUCUGAACAGGAAAGUUCAACUUCUGUUGGAACAUGGGCAAUUAUUGCUGUUU